CCUACGGGUGGCAGCAGUGGGGAAUAUUGCACAAUGGGGGAAACCCUGAUGCAGCGACGCCGCGUGAGUGAAGAAGUAUUUCGGUAUGUAAAGCUCUAUCAGCAGGGAAGAAGAAAGACGGUACCUGACUAAGAAGCCCCGGCUAACUACGUGCCAGCAGCCGCGGUAAUACGUAGGGGGCAAGCGUUAUCCGGAUUUACUGGGUGUAAAGGGAGCGUAGACGGCUGUGCAAGUCUGAAGUGAAAGCCGAGGGCUCAACCCUGGGACUGCUUUGGAAACUGUGGAGCUAGAGUGCUGGAGAGGUAAGUGGAAUUCCUGGUGUAGCGGUGAAAUGCGUAGAUAUUAGGAGGAACACCAGUGGCGAAGGCGGCUUACUGGACAGUAACUGACGUUGAGGCUCGAAAGCGUGGGGAGCGAACAGGAUUAGAUACCCUGGUAGUC
rnacentral:rRNA from 1 species